rnacentral:rRNA from 1 species
UACGUAGGGUCCGAGCGUUGUCCGGAAUUAUUGGGCGUAAAGAGCUCGUAGGCGGUUUGUCGCGUCUGCUGUGAAAACUGGAGGCUCAACCUCCAGCCUGCAGUGGGUACGGGCAAACUAGAGUGCGGUAGGGGAGACUGGAAUUCCUGGUGUAGCGGUGAAAUGCGCAGAUAUCAGGAGGAACACCGAUGGACGAAGGCAGGUCGACGUGGGCCGCAA